UACAGAGGGUGCGAGCGUUGUCCGGAAUCACUGGGCGUAAAGAGCUCGUAGGCGGUUUGUCACGUCUGCUGUGAAAUCCCGAGGCUCAACCUCGGGCCUGCAGUGGGUACGGGCAGACUGGAGUGCGGUAGGGGAGAAUGGAAUUCCUGGUGUAGCGGUGGAAUGCGCAGAUAUCAGGAGGAACACCGAUGGCGAAGGCAGUUCUCUGGGCCGUAACUGACGCUGAGGAGCGAAAGCGUGGGGAGCGAACAGG
rnacentral:rRNA from 1 species